UACGUAGGGCGCAAGCGUUGUCCGGAUUUAUUGGGCGUAAAGAGCGUGUAGGCGGCCUGACAGGUCAGCUGUGAAAACUCGAGGCUCAACCUCGAGACGUCGGUUGAAACCAUCUGGCUAGAGUCCGGAAGAGGAGUGUGGAACUCCCGGUGUAGCGGUGAAAUGCGCAGAUAUCGGGAAGAACACCCGUGGCGAAGGCGGCACUCUGGGACGGUACUGACGCUGAGACGCGAAAGCGUGGGGAGCGAACAGG
rnacentral:rRNA from 1 species